AACGAACGCUGGCGGCAUGCCUAACACAUGCAAGUCGAACGAGACCUUCGGGUCUAGUGGCGCACGGGUGCGUAACACGUGGGAAUUUGCCUCGGGGUAGUGGAAUAACUCAGGGAAACUUGAGCUAAUACCAUAUAAUGUCUUCGGACCAAAGAUUUAUCGCCCUGAGAUAAGCCCGCGUAGGAUUAGCUAGUUGGUGGGGUAAAGGCUCACCAAGGCGACGAUCCUUAGCUGGUCUGAGAGGAUGAUCAGCCACACUGGGACUGAGACACGGCCCAGACUCCUACGGGAGGGCAGCAGUGGGGGAAUAUUGGACAAUAGGGCGGAAAGACCUGAUCCAGCAAUGCCGCGUGAGUGA
rnacentral:rRNA from 1 species